rfam:Aspergillus ruber CBS 135680 unplaced genomic scaffold scaffold00001, whole genome shotgun sequence.
CCCCUGAUGGUCUAGUUGGAUAUGACGUUCGGCUGUAAUGGAUAUUGUAACCGAAAGGUCGCUGGCUCGAUUCCGGCUCGGGGGA